UAUUAAAAAAUGUUCAGGUGUCUUGAUUUCAGAAUCAUUAUUACAUGCAAUUUCGCGUUUAGAUGUAAUUUAAAAUCAAGAUAUUAAAAUAUCCAGCUAAGCGGUUAGAUCUUAACCAUCUCAAGACUUAAUUUUAAUAAAAGAUCUUGGAGAUUUGAAACCAGACCUUUUAUUUGAAAAAAUAUUUCUACCUACGGUAUGGAAUGGUCAAUGCCGGUGGCAUGCGGGAUAAAUAAAUGGCACGAUUCAAUUUCUAUGCUGGGAAGAACCUCAGGCUCGUACUCUCAACGAAUUGACUAAAUGUAGAGUUUAUAUACCACAUACCAUAUAUAAUAAUACUUGUAUCAGAGAAGAUAAUAGAGGGUGGGAAGAGGAAUCCCCGACACCUGUUACACGUCUAUAUCUACGCUGAAGGGUCAUAUCGGCUUGUACUACGCCAGCAAAGAUGCCUCGUUAUCUAAACGAAAAAUCACCGUCUCUCUCUUUCUCCUUUUCUUUCUUAUUCUGGUUUUAGCGGUUCAACAAUGUUACGAUCUUGUUAUAUGUGUGCUACAGCAUGUUCCGAUAGACAGAUGAACAUAAAGAUACAAACCCGAUAUAAAUAUUUUAUUUUAUUUUAUUUUAUUUUAUCAAUUUCGUCAUUGUCUUUUGUAUUUGUAAUUUGUAAAUGCGGUAUGCUGUUAUUUUAUAUCAUAUAUAAAUAUAUACAUAUAUGGUUUAUGGAUUUAAUAUAGAUGCGACUCGAGGUCCCCUAUCAUCGUAAUGAUACUGGCGUGUCCAGCGACGGGUACAAAAUAAUGAAAAAAAUACGUACAUAAUAAUAACGAAAGGAAAAGGAUAAAAUAACGAGGAAAAAAAAGAUCCAUUUCAUGUUAUAAAAUAAAACUCGACAAUUUGAAAUAAUAGUGUAACGAUAAUGACUUCGAGGAAAGUUAUUUUCCAACUCUAUAAAUCGUGUCCGCAAAUAUGUAUUAUGCAUGUUUUUAGUUUAUUAUAUACAUUUAUACACAUAUACAUGCAUAAUAUUUAACAAUUAAGAGCUGUGAGUGUGAGAAUAUUUAAAAAAAAAUUGAUGGUUUAAAAUGAAAUUACGAGCUUGUAAAAAAACAUAAGAUUAAUAAUUAGAUAUAACAUUGUUUGUGUGAUGUAAUGACGGAUUUUAAAAAGAAAAUAAUUAACGAAAUAAAAUUGUUAGUAGCAGGUAUUUAAAUAAAUCAUCAAAACUUUAAAUGAUCUUAUAUCGCAUGAUUAGACACAUGAAACUAAACAAGUAGUUAGGAAGAAGGCUCGUUAAAGAACGUGAGUCACUUACAUGUGAUGUAACAUGUGUUGGAGAAAACCGCGCACAAGAUCUCUAACAAGUUUAAAGACAUCUAAAUCUAUUAUAUAUAUAUAUAUAUGAUAGUAAACUACUCGAAGAGUUUUUUUAUUUUAUAUUAUUGUGUUUCAAGUCAUCCGUACAGGGUUUAUUAUACACAUAUAUGUAACAAUAAUACAAACACAAAUAGACUACAAGAAAAAUGAUGCGACAAAGGAAGAGUUGUGUUUGUUUUAUUUAAGAUAUGUCGAUUGUGUCCAAAAGAGUUUGUAAUGUUGAGUAAAGAACGAGGUUUUUCGACCUGUAGACCGGUUCGAAUACCGAAGUUUUUGUUUCCUGACGAAUUCUCGGGUCUCCUCAACAUCUUUUUUUCGAAGAUUUUAUGUACGUAAAUUCGCAUUUUAAACUAAUUUAUAACUAAAUAAUAUACUGAUGAAUAAAAGGAUAAAAACCCGGGCAACAAUUGAGUCAUAAAUUAUUUUGUUAUAAAAGAGCGAUACGAUGUAAAUGAUGGAUCUUAAAUCCUAUCCGUUAGCGUGUGUGGUUAAAAAAAGUUUAAAAAAUAAAAGGAAAAAAAAAACUAAUACCGGAAUACGUGUUUCCGCUGGACAAUUUGCUACGUACGUUUACAUGUUAAUGCUCUGACUCUGACUCUGGCUCAACCCUUUCUUUUUCAGUGAUAUGUGAGUAUGUGUGUAAAAGCGUCGUGUCGCAUGUGCAAACCCUCGAUCACAGUCUGUAGUCAUUGUUUUAUUGCGAAAAACAACGUCUAGUCUUAUAGUUUAACGUGUUACAUACUAAUAUCUACAUAUGCAUAUUACAUAUACAUGAGCUAAGCGCUAAAGUUUGCAGUAAUGUAAAAUUAACAAUAGGACGAUGACAAUGCAAUCGAUAUUGACAAUUUUAAUAUGCAAGCAAUCGUUUAUAUUUGUCGUUCUCUAUCAGUUUUAUAGCUAUUUAUAUUUGUAUUGUUCAGUUGUAUAUAAUGGUGAAGAAGAAAAGAAUGAGAAGGUGAUGAUGUUGAUGACAGUGGUGUUGGUGGCGGAUACUUAUUAGGAAAUCCAACAAUCGCAUUUUUGCCGGAUCGAACGUCGAUGUUCGAUUCGCGGAACUCUUAAGGGCAAGGUGCGCAUGCGUUGUCGCCUCACCACCACCACCUCCUCCUCCUCCUCCUCUUUCACUUAUUGUGAAUUCUCGUGCCCUUUAUGUGACUCUGAUGUGUGAGUACGUAGUUGCAGUUAGCAAGCAGACUUAUUUAUGUUUUCUUGAUCGCAUUACCGGCGUUCUAUUCUGUAAAACCAACUAUUGUCAUUUUGUUUCAGGUGACAUACUGUCGGUACUUGUGGGAUUUUAAAUUAUUUUUUUUUAGUCACGUUAAACCUCUUGACCUCUUAAUCUUGCUUCAAUGAUUUUGGUCGGUAGUUGUAGGUCUAAUCUAGAGAUGAGUUGUUUAGUCUAGACCUAAGCGUCCAGUUUAGUUCCAGGUUUAAAUCCAGAUCCAGACAGAGUUCGCCCACUGAACUGCGCUUGGAGAUCCAAUUCAAACGGUAAUCGCGGAGUCAAGUCCAGGGCAAUUCGUAAAAAAUUGAUAAAUAAAAACCGAGAAAAUAAGAGUCCGCAAAAAAUCAGUUAACGGAGAAGAUUAUUCCCGUUAACAUUUAAGUUGUUAUUUUGUUUAUUUAUGUGUUUAGUUUUUUUUUUUUUUUUUCUUUCGAGUGUUACACUUAUUGUCAUUUAUGUAGUGAAUAGUUAGACGGUAGUUUUAGUUGUGUUUUUAUUGAUUUGUUAAUUUUUUUUUCUAAGCGUAUGUGAUUAUGUCAACUUUUGCGAAAUGAUGUUCUAUACUGAUGUCGAUAAAUGUAAUGUAAUGAGAAAAUGGCGCGAGCAUGCACGCAACAAGAUUUCCUAGAAGUCUGUAAUAAGGCCUGUUGUGAGUGCGAGAAAGUAUGAAAUACCUGAACGUCGCUAACAAGUAAAAAAUAUAGAUUAAAAGAGUAGACGGAAAUGCCGAGCUAAAGAGUUCUAUAGUAGCAGUAUAAUAGUAGUUCAUCCUUCACGUAUCACGGUCCUUUAUUUUUUAUCGUAAAUCGUCGAAUGGACCAGACGCAAAUUAGCAAGGCCGAUAAUAUCAGGAAGAACUUGUUCACAAAGAAAUCAAAUCGAUGGUCCUCGAGCUGCCUUUAUAUGUCCAGAUACAGAUAUAUACUACUAUACUUACUACCUAUAUAUAAAUGAAAGGAUUUAUAUUGCUAUCGAGAGUAUAAGAGCUGAGUACAAGAGUAGUCAAGAGGCGGAUGAUAUUGAAGGAAGUCAAAGGAGAGUUGAGUUAGUCUUCCAAGUAAUCCGCGAGGAAGAGCAGAGCUCUGUGACUUCUCACGCAGGGACCAAUUAUCCCUUUCCAGAAGACAAUUAUCGUAGCUUUUGAACUGGCAACGUGCGCAAUUGCACUCGACCUCGACGUAACUUAUUUUCUGGUGAACGGGGCUCACCUCUUCCACGAAUCGCCGAAAAUAAUUGAUGAGUGAGGCCAUACGUUCUUCUUAUAUGUAUAUAUAUAUAUAUAUAUAUAAACCCUAUAUAUGUACUUCAUACGUUCCAUUUGAAACAAGCAAAGCGUAGAGGGCAAUCUUCCACUUUUCUCUUCGUAGAAUCGUUUUAGAAAUAAGGAAAAAAACUUAUUAAACUUACUUUAGCAUUAUAAAUACAGAAGAUCAGCCGAGUAGAGAAGAGUAGAAUAAGAAAAGAGUAAAGUACACAUAUAAUACAGGAGGGCGAACACACGCACGCAACAAAGUGCAUCUCGAUACAGUCAAUUGGCCGGAAAUACAACUGACGACUUAAUGACGUGAGAAUACUGUAUAGUAUAGACGAUACGAACAAAUGAAAUUAGCCUUUAGUCUGUAGGUAUAGCAAAAAAAAAAAGAACGAAAGAAAAAAAAAUUAUUAGCCACCCGAUUAUUUUUUACCUGGUAAAAACACCAACAUUUUUAUAUAAAUAUGUAUUUGAAAUUGUAUGUAUGGAGAUGAUAAGUGUGCAUGUCGAUGUCUAUAUCGUACAUUUAUGUGCUAUAAGCGUAAGACUUGAGAACAUGUGCGCUGUUCUCGGGUUCUCGGAAAGCUCUAGAUAUAUGUAAUUUGUGACGAUAAAGAGGUCGAUCGACAGUCAGUGUAGUAAAGUCUUGAUACAACGUUUUU
rnacentral:lncRNA from 1 species